rnacentral:rRNA from 1 species
AUUGAACGCUGGCGGUAGGCCUAACACAUGCAAGUCGAACGGCAGCACAGUACAACCUUCUUCUUACCGGUCGCGAGUCGGGCGCGGGUGUGGUAUACAUCAAGAUCUAUUAUUGCGUGGGGGAUCACGUAGGAACACUUACUCUUAUCGCGCAUUCUCCCUACGGGAAAAAGCAGGGGAUCUUCGCACCUUGCGCUCUUGAGUGCGCCGAUGUCGGAUUAGCUAGUUGGCGGGGUAACGGCCCCCCAAGGCGACGAUCCGUAGCUGGUCUGAGAGGAUGAGCAGCCACACUGGAACUGAGACACGGUCCAGACUCCUACGGGAGGCAGCAGUGGGGAAUAUUGGACAAUGGGCGCAAGCCUGAUGCAGCCAUGCCGCGUGGAUGAAGAAGGCCUUCGGGUUGUAAAGUACUUUCGUCGGGGAGGAAGGGAGGAAAGUUAAUACCCCGGCGCAUUGACGGUACCCGAAGAAGAAGCACCGGCUAACUUCGUG